GCGGGCUUGGCGUAGAGGUAACGUGCCUGGCUUCCACCCAGGAGUCACGAGUUCGAUUCUCGUAGCCCGCACCA
rnacentral:tRNA from 1 species